CAAACGAUUUUCGGAAACGGAUAUCUCGGUUCACGCAUCGAUGAAAAACGUAGCAAAAUGCGAUACUUGGGGUGAAUUGCAAAAUCCCGUGAACCAUCGAGUUUUUGAACGCAAGUUGCGCCCGAAGCCAUUCGGCCGAGGGCACGUUUGCCUGGGCGUCACGC
rnacentral:rRNA from 1 species